rnacentral:lncRNA from 1 species
CUUCUUCUUACCUUUUUGCUGCUUAUUCUCACUCUCCAGCUCCUGAUGCCUCUCUCCUGCUGUGCGUGAGAUGGUUUGCACACAGCGUUGUGUUCCAACAAUCCAUAGACUGGAUCCAGGCUGACUUUCCUUGUGCUGCAAUCCCCACAUGCUUCCCUCUCUGUGGAGAUUUGAGCAGCAGCAUGGCCACCAUUUAAGUACUCACCACAAAGUCUCUGCUAGAUUCCCAAUGCCCGGCUUUGGAAACAAAGCAGCGUUAGAGGAGAGGUUUAUCCCAUAAACACACAAGAGCCAUAGUGCAGUCUGUACUGAAAUCUAGCAACUCACUUGAUUUUCCCCAUGCUUGGGGAAAAAAAUGAAGCAGACAGGCUCCUCUAUCAAAUUAGAAGGGAAGGGGUGUGUGAUUUAACUGACAGUAACCAGGACUCAGCCUUUUUAGGCCUACAACAUGUGCUGUGACACCUUGCGCAAAGUCAUAAUUUCCAGGAGUCCUUUUCCCUAGCUGUACCGUAGGGAUUACUCGUCCACCUCACUGCAAGGAGGGGGAGGUUGUAAGACAGACCCAAUGCUUUGGGCUCAGUAGAGGUAACUGGAUUAAAUCCUCUGGCCUGUGUUAUGCAGGUCAGCCUCAUCUAAUGGUCCCUCUUCUGCCUUUAAUUGAUGACUCUCUCAAGGAAGUUUUGGAGGUUCAUGGAGGAAAGGUUUGAGAAUUAAGUAGCGUGAAAGGACUGGAGGUAAAGGCAAACUUCUACCAGUAUUACUGUAUUAAGGAAGAUUUUCAAGUAUCCGCCGCCUUUUAAAAUGAACAAACAUUCCAACAUGCCUGCUAUAGCUUUCUUUCGAACAAGUGGUAAUGGGAUAAUAGGGUAUCUCGGAACUGAUUCUUUGUGAUUCAAUUCCAUUUUCUACAUACAGCGCACUUUCUAAUGUAAGAAGUGUCUGGGUCUGGGGAAGGUUAGCCUCAAGAGGAGAAAUGGUUCUAGAAAUCAGAUGAUGAGUGUCGACUGUUAACAAAUCAGGGAAUUAGCACCAUGUCCAAACGGUGGGGGGAAAGCCAGCACAAGACAGACGAGUGCCUCUAAGAGCCUUACGUAAGGUAUUUCACGUAAGGGAAGGUCUAAUUCUAUAUUAGUGGGAAUUUCACUAUUCGAAUACCCUUCCUACCCUAGCUCUAGGAACUUUUUUCCACACUUAGGUCUUUUCUACAAUUAAGAUGGACACUUCCCCUGCCCAAUGCUGCAGUGAACAUGAGACCCUCACCAAAUUUGUUUCACCUAAGCAUUCCCAUGGCCACUAGCACCACCUAUCUGUCAGCGUGCUCUGCCAGCUGAACAAACCAAUUCGCUUCCCCCUUUUUCAUUUGGGAAGAUAGCACCUGGAGGACAGAGGGCUUGGAGUGCAGUUUAGGAAAAAAAUAUUACCACAGAGUCUCCCUCCCACGUUGCAAGAAUGUUUAUGAGGUCACAGAUCACCAGCCUAGGCCAGGCCAGAUGAGAACACAAUAAAAUGAUCCUCCCUGAUUAUAAAUACCCA